GACGAACCACACAAACGUUAUUCGGAAUUACUGGGCUUAAAGGGUGCGUAGGCUGUGCGGAAAGGUGGGUGUGAAAUCCCCCGGCUCAACCGGGGAAUUGCGCCCAAAACUACCGUGCUUGAGGAAGACAGAGGUGAGCGGAACUUCGGGUGGAGCGGUGAAAUGCGUUGAUAUCCGAAGGAACACCGGUGGCGAAAGCGGCUCACUGGGUCUUUUCUGACGCUGAUGCACGAAAGCUAGGGGAGCAAACGGG
rnacentral:rRNA from 1 species